rnacentral:rRNA from 1 species
GGUGAACGCUGGCGGCGUGCUUAAGACAUGCAAGUCGAACGGCAGUCUUCGGACUGUAGUGGCGCACGGGUGAGUAACGCGUAACUGACCUACCCCAAAGUCGCGGAUAACGAUUCGAAAGAAUCGCUAAUACGUGAUGUGCUGUCAGAUUGUGUUCUGCCAGUAAAGAUUGAUUGCUUUGGGAUGGGGUUGCGUUCCAUCAACUAGUUGGUGGGGUAAAGGCCCACCAAGGCGACGACGGAUAGCCGGCCUGAGAGGGUGGCCGGCCACGGGGGAACGGAGACACGGGUCCCACUCCUACGGGAGGCAGCAGUUAGGAAUCUUCCACAAUGGGCGAAAGCCUGAUGGAGCGACGCCGCGUGAAGGAUGAAGAUCUUCGGAUCGUAAACCUCUGAAUCAGGGACGAAAGACACUUCGGUGGGAUGACGGUACCUGAGUAAUAGCACCGGCUAACUCCGUGCCAGCCGCCGCCGUAAUAC